CGCAGGAUAGAGCAGUCUGGUAGCUCGUGGGGCUCAUAAUCCCAAUGUCGCAGGUUCAAAUCCUGCUCCUGCAACCA
rnacentral:tRNA from 2 species